rnacentral:rRNA from 1 species
GAGUUUGAUCAUGGCUCAGGAUGAACGCUAGCGGCAGGCUUAAUACAUGCAAGUCGAGGGGCAGCAGCUUUAUAGCAAUAUAGAGGCUGGCGACCGGCAAACGGGUGCGGAACACGUACACAACCUUCCUUGAAUAGGGGGAUAGCCCAUAGAAAUGUGGAUUAAUACCCCGUAAUAUAGCGGUGUGGCAUCACACUGUUAUUAUAGUUUCGGCGAUUCGAGAUGGGUGUGCGGCUGAUUAGGUAGUUGGCGGGGUAAAGGCCCACCAAGCCUUCGAUCAGUAGCUGAUGUGAGAGCAUGAUCAGCCACACGGGCACUGAGACACGGGCCCGACUCCUACGGGAGGCAGCAGUAAGGAAUAUUGGUCAAUGGACGCAAGUCUGAACCAGCCAUGCCGCGUGAAGGAUGAAGGUCCUCUGGAUUGUAAACUUCUUUUAUAGGGGGCGAAAAAAGGUCUUUCUAGAUCACUUGACAGUACCCUAUGAAUAAGCACCGGCUAACUCCGUGCCAGCAGCCGCGGUAAUACGGAGGGUGCAAGCGUUAUCCGGAUUCACUGGGUUUAAAGGGUGCGUAGGCGGGUAGGUAAGUCAGAGGUGAAAUCCUGGAGCUUAACUCCAGAACUGCCUUUGAUACUAUCUAUCUUGAAUAUGGUGGAGGUAAGCGGAAUAUGUCAUGUAGCGGUGAAAUGCAUAGAUAUGACAUAGAACACCUAUUGCGAAAGCAGCUUACUACGCCUAUAUUGACGCUGAGGCACGAAAGCGUGGGGAUCAAACAGGAUUAGAUACCCUGGUAGUCCACGCCCUAAACGAUGAUUACUCGACGUAUGCGAUACACAGUAUGCGUCUGAGCGAAAGCAUUAAGUAAUCCACCUGGGAAGUACGACCGCAAGGUUGAACUCAAAGGAUUGGCGGGGUCCGCACAAGCGGKGAGCAUGUGUUUAAUUCGAUGAUACGCGGAGAACCUUUACUGGCUAGAUGCAGUCUGAACGUGGGGUGAAAGCUCAUUUCGUAGCAAUASCAGAUUGUUAGGUGCUGCAUGCUGUCGUMGCUCGKGCCGUGAGKUGGUUAGUCGCUACAGASCACCUACGUAGUGCAACGUAAGCUGAUCUAAGUAACUCUGCGUGCCGAKACCAGMGKAAGU